UCGAACGGUUCCUUCGGGGACAGUGGCAGACGGGUGAGUAACGCGUGGGAACGUGCCCUUCGGUUCGGAAUAACUCAGGGAAACUUGAGCUAAUACCGGAUACGUCCGAGAGGAGAAAGAUUUAUCGCCGAAGGAUCGGCCCGCGUCUGAUUAGCUAGUUGGUGUGGUAACGGCGCACCAAGGCGACGAUCAGUAGCUGGUCUGAGAGGAUGAUCAGCCACACUGGGACUGAGACACGGCCCAGACUCCUACGGGAGGCAGCAGUGGGGAAUAUUGGACAAUGGGCGCAAGCCUGAUCCAGCCAUGCCGCGUGAGUGAUGAAGGCCCUAGGGUUGUAAAGCUCUUUUAUCCGGGACGAUAAUGACGGUACCGGAAGAAUAAGCCCCGGCUAACUUCGUGCCAGCAGCCGCGGUAAUACGAAGGGGGCUAGCGUUGCUCGGAAUCACUGGGCGUAAAGGGCGCGUAGGCGGACGUUUAAGUCAGGGGUGAAAUCCCGGGGCUCAACCUCGGAAUUGCCUUUGAUACUGGAUGUCUCGAGACCGGAAGAGGUAAGUGGAACUGCGAGUGUAGAGGUGAAAUUCGUAGAUAUUCGCAAGAACACCAGUGGCGAAGGCGGCUUACUGGUCCGGAUCUGACGCUGA
rnacentral:rRNA from 1 species